UACAGAGGAGCCAAGCGUUGUCCGGAUUGACUGGGCGUAAAGCGCACGCAGGCGGUUGCGCGCGUGGGGUGUGAAAUCUGGCCGCUUAACGGCCAGGCGCCAUCCCAUACGGCGCGACUGGAGUGAUGCAGAGGUCGAUGGAAUUGCCGGUGUAGUGGUGAAAUGCGUAGAGAUCGGCGAGGGAACACCCAGGGGGAAACCAGUCGACUGGGCAUCUACUGACGCUGAGGUGCGAGAGCGUGGGGAGCGAACCGG
rnacentral:rRNA from 1 species